rnacentral:rRNA from 1 species
UACGUAGGUGGCAAGCGUUGUCCGGAUUUACUGGGCGUACAGAGCGCGCAGGCGGUCGUUCAAGUCGCGUGUGAAAGCCCCCGGCUCAACUGGGGAGGGUCACGCGAUACUGAUCGACUCGAAGGCAGGAGAGGGUAGUGGAAUUCCCGGUGUAGUGGUGAAAUGCGUAGAUAUCGGGAGGAAUACCAGUGGCGAAGGCGGCUUCCUGGCCUGUUCUUGACGCUGAGGCGCGAAAGCUAGGGUAGCAAACGGG